CAGGAUGAACGCUGGCGGCGUGCCUAACACAUGCAAGUCGAACGCUUCACUUCGGUGAAGAGUGGCGAACGGGUGAGUAAUACAUAAGUAACCUGGCAUCUACAGGGGGAUAACUGAUGGAAACGUCAGCUAAGACCGCAUAGGUGUAGAGAUCGCAUGAACUCUAUAUGAAAAGUGCUACGGGACUGGUAGAUGAUGGACUUAUGGCGCAUUAGCUUGUUGGUAGGGUAACGGCCUACCAAGGCGACGAUGCGUAGCCGACCUGAGAGGGUGACCGGCCACACUGGGACUGAGACACGGCCCAGACUCCUACGGGAGGCAGCAGUAGGGAAUUUUCGGCAAUGGGGGAAACCCUGACCGAGCAACGCCGCGUGAAGGAAGAAGUAAUUCGUUAUGUAAACUUCUGUCAUAGAGGAAGAACGGUGGAUAUAGGGAAUGAUAUCCAAGUGACGGUACUCUAUAAGAAAGCCACGGCUAACUACGUGCCAGCAGCCGCGGUAAUACGUAGGUGGCGAGCGUUAUCCGGAAUUAUUGGGCGUAAAGAGGGAGCAGGCGGCACUAAGGGUCUGUGGUGAAAGAUCGAAGCUUAACUUCGGUAAGCCAUGGAAACCGUAGAGCUAGAGUGUGUGAGAGGAUCGUGGAAUUCCAUGUGUAGCGGUGAAAUGCGUAGAUAUAUGGAGGAACACCAGUGGCGAAGGCGACGAUCUGGCGCAUAACUGACGCUCAGUCCCGAAAGCGUGGGGAGCAAAUAGGAUUAGAUACCCUAGUAGUCCACGCCGUAAACGAUGAGUACUAAGUGUUGGGGGUCAAACCUCAGUGCUGCAGUUAACGCAAUAAGUACUCCGCCUGAGUAGUACGUUCGCAAGAAUGAAACUCAAAGGAAUUGACGGGGG
rnacentral:rRNA from 1 species